rnacentral:rRNA from 1 species
UACGUAGGGUGCAAGCGUUAAUCGGAAUUACUGGGCGUAAAGCGUGCGCAGGCGGUUUUGUAAGUCUGACGUGAAAUCCCCGGGCUCAACCUGGGAAUUGCGUUGGAGACUGCAAGGCUAGAAUCUGGCAGAGGGGGGUAGAAUUCCACGUGUAGCAGUGAAAUGCGUAGAGAUGUGGAGGAACACCGAUGGCGAAGGCAGCCCCCUGGGUCAAGAUUGACGCUCAUGUACGAAAGCGUGGGGAGCAAACAGG